CCUCCAUGGGAACAGGGACAGGUGGGGACAACGAUGGGACCCCCUGUGGGGAGGGGGACACAAAUGGGGACAGUGACCCCCAUUUGCCCCUGUGCUGUCCCCCCCCCCUUCCUGUCCCUUUAGAAUAGUGACAGUCACACCCCUGUCCCCCCCCAAUCUCCCCUAUGUCCCCAUCAGGAUGGGGGUCCCCAAUGUCCCUAUUAGGGUGGGGGGUCCCCAUUGAAACGGGGGGGGGGGGGUCCCAGUGUCCCCAUCCUUGGCAGGGUCCCAAUAUCCCCCUGGGGGUCCCCAUGUCCCUAUUAGGGUGGGGGUCCCCACUAAAAUGGGGGUCCCAGUGCCCCCAUGUCCCCACUGAAAUGGGGGUCCCAGAGUUGCCAUGUCCCCCUGGGGGGUCCCCAUAUUCUCAUUAGGAUGGGGGUCCCCAAUGUCCUCAUGUUGCCCUUGGGGGUCCCCACUGAAAGGGGGAGGGGGGUCCCGGUGUCCCCAUGGGGGUCCCCAUCAGGGUGGGGGUCCCCAAUGUCCCCAUUCGAGGGAGGGUCCUAAUAUCUGCCUGGGGUCCCCAUCAGGGUGGGGGUCACCAUUAAAACAGGGGUCCCAGUGACCCCAAGCCCCCCCAGAGAUCCCCAUCCUCAUUAGGGUGGGGGUCCCCAAUGUCCUCACGUCCCCCUGGAGGUCCCCAGAGAAAUGGGGGGGGGGUCCCGGUGUCCCCAUGUCCCCCUGGGGGUCCCCAUCAGGGUGGGGGUCCCCACGCCCCCAUCACAGUGGGGGUCCCGGUUAAAAUAGGGGCCCCAACGUCCCCAUCAAUCGCAGCGAGGAUCCCGUUACCCCUCUGGGGGGGGUGGGGGGGGUCC
rnacentral:lncRNA from 1 species